rnacentral:tRNA from 1 species
GGGGGAAUAGCUCAGUGGUAGAGUGCACACACUUGAGGUCCUGGGUUCAAUCCCCAGGACCUCCA